UACGAAGGGGGCUAGCGUUGUUCGGAAUUACUGGGCGUAAAGCGCAUGUAGGCGGAUAUUUAAGUCAGGGGUGAAAUCCCGAAGCUCAACUGCGGAACUGCCUUUGAUACUGGGUAUCUUGAGUAUGGAAGAGGUGAGUGGAAUUCCGAGUGUAGAGGUGAAAUUCGUAGAUAUUCGGAGGAACACCAGUGGCGAAGGCGGCUCACUGGUCCAUUACUGACGCUGAGGUGCGAAAGCGUGGGGAGCAAACAGG
rnacentral:rRNA from 1 species